rnacentral:rRNA from 1 species
GACGAACGCUGGCGGCGUGCUUAACACAUGCAAGUCGAACGGAAAGGCCCUGCUUUUGUGGGGUGCUCGAGUGGCGAACGGGUGAGUAACACGUGAGUAACCUGCCCUUGACUUUGGGAUAACUUCAGGAAACUGGGGCUAAUACCGGAUAGGAUCUCCUGCUGCAUGGUGUGGGUUGGAAAGUUUCGGCGGUUGGGGAUGGACUCGCGGCUUAUCAGCUUGUUGGUGGGGUAGUGGCUUACCAAGGCUUUGACGGGUAGCCGGCCUGAGAGGGUGACCGGCCACAUUGGGACUGAGAUACGGCCCAGACUCCUACGGGAGGCAGCAGUGGGGAAUAUUGCACAAUGGGCGGAAGCCUGAUGCAGCAACGCCGCGUGCGGGAUGACGGCCUUCGGGUUGUAAACAGCUUUCGAAUGUGACGAAGCGUGAGUGACGGUAAUGGGUAAAGAAGCACCGGCUAACUACGUG